UGUAUCUCUCUCCUCACAUUAAACCUAUGCCCUCCAGUUUUAGACUCUCCUACCAUUCCCCCUCCUCUGCUUAUCUAGUUUCCUCUUAAAUGCACCUUUACUAUUCAGCUCAACAUUCCUUGUGGUGAGUUCCACAUUCUAGUCACUGAAUGGGAGACACUGGCUUAGAAUCCUGGAACUUUCUCCCUAACAUCAGUGGCUAUACUCUACCCGGCAUGGUCUCGCCUGUUCAAGAAGGCAGCUGAUCGUGACCACCUCUAGUGCAACUGGCCACUACCUUCUCAAGGGCAAUUGGGAAUGAAUAAAGACUAAUUGGCCUGGCCAUGAUGCCCACAUUCCAUGAGCAAAUAAAUGGAAAUGUUUCUCCUGAAUUCUUUCUUGUAUUUAUUUGCAGAGGUAUGUAUGUGUGGCUUCUGAAGUGCGAUUCUCCUUGGAAUCUUUCUACUACUUGCCAUCCCUUGAUUCAUUGGUUUCUCCACAGAUAAAAAGAGGAGAUAGUAUGUGUUAUAAAAGCUGCAUUCUGACGACAGGUUAAGGGUGUUUGCAAUGCAAUCUCAUGGCAUGCUACACCACAGAAGGAGUUCAUUUGGCCCAUCACACCUGUGCUGACUCUUUAAAAGAGCUAUUACCUCAUUAACUUUGUGUUGCAUAUUAUUUUUAGUAAUUGAGCAGAACUGCCUUAAUUUACCUUGUAUAAUGAUGAAUUUCUCUCCAAUUUGUUAUUUUGCGUUGUGCGAACGUUUAAAAGUGAAUUAGAAUCCCAUUUAGCUUAAGUAACCCAAAGCGUUGAAGCCCCUAAUGAGGCAAUUAAAGCACUUAAAUAUUCUGUUUAACAUCCAUGUUUUAACCUUCACUCCGCACCAUUAGCAUUGUGUUUAACAAAGGAAUGUAAUGCGCCACACAGGAUCUAUUGCCAAGGCUGCUGUUUCUGCUCUACCAGGGCGAGACAGAGCGCGGGAGAUUGCAUAAUGUUACCGGUCAUGCAUUUCACUGCCAUCUGUUCCUCUUAUCUCCAGGCAGCUCUGUGUCUUUUAAAUUUAGAAAUAUGAGAGAGAAGCCAAGACCAUUAGAAUGUUCGACACUAGCUGGAAAAAGUAAGACAGAAUAAACAAGAUAGAGUCCUAUUUGGGUGAUGGAAUUCUUAAGUUUAGAAAGAGAGACUUGCACUGAUGUAGUAUCUUUCAUAAUAUCAGGAUGUCCCAUGGUGACUCAGCACCCAGUGAAAUACUAUCAAAGUCUGAUCCCUGUUAAUUGGAAAACUUGACACCCAAUUUGUGCAGAGCAAGCUCCCACAAACAACACUGUGAAUAUUAUAUCAAGCAGAUGAUCUGCUUUUAAUUAUCCUGAUUCUUAGAGGAAAAUUAUUGGAAUGUUGCACUGCUGUUUUUUGGGAAUAAAGUGCUGUACGAUAGUUUCAUGGGUCCUUUGUGUAAUAUCUCAUCCAACAGUUCUGAAAGUGCAGCACCCCCUCAGUAAUGCACUGAAGUGGCGAUCCAAUUUUUGUGGUCCAGCCUGUGGAAUGGGACUUAAAACCACAAUCUGCUGCUUUGGGGCAAAAGUAGGAUCUACUGAGCCACUUCGAGCUGAUUGCAAGAAAUCAGAAAAAUCAAACGAGAAGAAGUUCCAAGAUGUUUAGGUCCUGUCACAGAAAGGCUUACAAAAGGAAUGUGUGGAAAUGUGUCUUGAACGUCAAGGCAAAGGAAAGGAAAGGAAAUGGGAUGGGGAAGAGUUGGGAAUAAGUGGUUACUAGACACAUCUUAAUUUUGUAGAUGAAAUUGCUGUUACAGCAGGAAGCUGACAUUUCUCUGCAUGUUCGUGAAGUGAACCAAUUGCAAAAUGAAGAAUUCCUUCACCCACUGCCCUGUCUAAUGGUUCCGAGAGGGAGAAGUCCUUUUAUUCACAAUUUUUAAAACAAAAUUCUACCUCUUAGGUUAAAGAAAACACAAAGAAAGAAGUAUGGCUUGCUUGCUUCAUAUGAUGACCAUGUGGAAAUGGCUCCAAUGGAUACUGACGAUGAUGACACAACUUUAUUUGAAGUAAAGGGCAUGAGGAGGAGCAUUAACCACACUGCCUCUCAAUCUUGCUGACUUUCCAUCCACUACAAAUGCUUCGAGACACUCUCCACUGCUUCGCUGUAAUAAGCACUCUGAGGACAUACGGUGAAUGUGACUUAUUUGUCAUGCAGUUUUCAGAAGCUUCAAUCUUCUUGUCAUUUGCUAAUUACUUACCGAUGACUGACUAAAUAUAUUUGUAUCUUGCGUGCAACUGGACAGGUAACUCCAGCAUAACCAAACUUUUCAAUGUUCGGAAACCGAAGGAACCCUGCUAAAACUCUUCCAUUGUUGGGGAAACUUUUACUUCACCAUUAUUGUGAUUUCUGUAUCAUUUCCUGUGAAUCGUUCCGAAAGACGUUCUGGGUAAUGAGUUAAAGUUAGCCUGGACUAAGCGUUUUGUCACAGAGCUCGGCUUGGAGCGAAUAGAACCUACAGACUGUUUACAUUGGCAUUGUUUAAUUUAAAUUUGGUGGGAUAACUGCUGUUCAAUCACAUUAGGUGGAUAAGCUUAUUGACAUACAGCAUUGGCACAGUGAAGACUGUGUAAAAUUUCCAUGGGUGACCAGCAAUGUGUACUCCAUAGGAAUGGGUGGGGAUGAAUAGAAGUGGUAAACCUUUUGCCUCUUUUUGGCACCUAGGGCCCCAUUAUUAUUGGGCCCUGACUGCUGUGCUUAAAUAAUACAGUGGGGUCCAUAAGUCUUCUCAGCAAGUGUGCAGUAAGCAUCCAUCCAGCAAUAUAAACAUUACACUGCUCUACCUGUGCCUGAAUAUCAAGCUAAAAGCACUUUUCUUUUAGAAAGUCUUUGCUAACCUCUCACUGGAAUGUUGAUUUUUAAAUGCAGUUGUCAUGUAACAGCAUCCACUUAAACUAAAGUGGGAGCAAAUAACUGUAUAUCUUUGAUUGUUGUUUAACACUGAAUGCUACUUAACCUUUAACAUUCACCUUUCCAACUGCUUCAGUGUGCCGUGAUGUUUCCUUAGGAAAAAGAGCGGGAAAAUGCACCUCUCUCUGAGCUGGUACGAGUGCAGAGUUAAACUGGUGAAUAGUAAGGCAACUCCUGAGGCCUAGACCAAACAAAGUGUGCCUUGGUUACUGCCAAAUGUAGCAAGUCAGUAAGGUCAGCUGACUAGCUUCAGCCAGUUGUGUGAAUGCUGCAGUUUUUAAGUGUGAAUGUACAUUUACUGCCUGCAGUUGUGAGGGACCCAGCUGCAUGUAGGCAUCAGUCAUGCUACUUAUAACUUGGGCCUGUUUCUUAGCUUCGAUUUAAGAUUAAUUAAGGUGCAACAUGCCCUUCUCGCACAUUGUUGGGAGCUUGUCAGGACUGUGAAGUGUUUUAUAAGCCUUUUAAACAACAACAAAAGAGUUACAAUUCAAUGCCAUCCAUUUUGUUUACUUGUUUAUUAAAAUAAUUUUUUGUGAAAGAAAA